rnacentral:rRNA from 1 species
AACGCUAGCACAGGCUUAACACAUGCAAGUCGAGGGGAAACGAUAUUGGAAGCUUGCUUCCGAUAGGCGUCGACCGGCGCACGGGUGAGUAACGCGUAUCCAACCUGCCCACCACUUGGGGAUAACCUUGCGAAAGUAAGACUAAUACCCAAUGAUAUCUCUAGAAGACAUCUGAAAGAGAUUAAAGAUUUAUCGGUGAUGGAUGGGGAUGCGUCUGAUUAGCUUGUUGGCGGGGUAACGGCCCACCAAGGCAACGAUCAGUAGGGGUUCUGAGAGGAAGGUCCCCCACAUUGGAACUGAGACACGGUCCAGACUCCUACGGGAGGCAGCAGUGAGGAAUAUUGGUCAAUGGACGAGAGUCUGAACCAGCCAAGUAGCGUGCAGGAAGACGGCCCUAUGGGUUGUAAACUGCUUUUAUAAGGGAAUAAAGUGAGUCUCGUGAGACUUUUUGCAUGUACCUUAUGAAUAAGGACCGGCUAAUUCCGUGCCAGCAGCCGCGGUAAUACGGAAGGUCCGGGCGUUAUCCGGAUUUAUUGGGUUUAAAGGGAGCGUAGGCCGGAGAUUAAGCGUGUUGUGAAAUGUAGAUGCUCAACAUCUGCACUGCAGCGCGAACUGGUUUCCUUGAGUACGCACAAAGUGGGCGGAAUUCGUGGUGUAGCGGUGAAAUGCUUAGAUAUCACGAAGAACUCCGAUUG